AUGUUCUGUCUCUCUCUCUCUCCGGCUGUCGAGUAUUUAUUAGCGCUUGCUCUUCCAAGGGGAGGGGGGCAGCUGAUGCGGCAGGGAUUUGUGGCUAACUCCCUCCCCACCGACGUUAACGUGACUUGGUCUGUGUAAGAGCAGACACAUAAACACAUGGAAAAAAUCCGACUGUUAUGUGGACCCGGCCACAGGACUGUGCUCCCUUCACUCUCCGGACCAGGAUUUACAAACCUCGUGUGAAAAGGCACUGGAGAAGGGAUUGGAAAUGUGCACAACGAAGAGUGAGACUGAAAGCAGCCCUGACUCAUGAUCAGCUUGGAAAAAUCCUGCUGCAAUGAGAUGCUACUGGAAACGAUCAGUGACGACGGUUGGUUCCUUCCUGUUUUUUUGUCUUUUGAUGUACCUCUGUAUGAAGGAUGAAGGGAGCAUAUUGGAAGAAGAAGAAAAGAGAUUGGCCAAAGAAAUAGCUGUACAACAGUUGUAUUCAGAGAGGAAUGUGCAGAACUUCAGGGAGCUGAUAAACUUUUCUGCACCUAUUAAUGUCACCUAUCAAUAUUUAGUAGGUUAUCCAUUACUGAAAAAGAGUAAGUUAAAGUUUUUCGUGUGUCUGUGUCUGUGUCUGUGUGUGUGUGUCUGUGUGUGUUAGCCAUAAAAUGAAGGAAUUGCAAUUAAGGGUUAACUUUCUUGGUCUAAAGUCUCCUAAAUCUGGAACUAUUAUCUGAAAUGCAAUUAGAGUUUCAAGUUAAUAAAAAUUACAAGCAUAAAAA